rnacentral:rRNA from 1 species
GUACUAAGUGUGCGAUAAGUAGAGCGGGACACGUGACAUCCUGCUCGAAGAUGGGGGGACCAUCCUCCAAGGCUAAAUACUCGUGAUCGACCGAUAGCGUACCAGUACUGUGAAGGAAAGGUUAAAAGAACCCCGGGAGGGGAGUGAAAUAGAUCCUGAAACCGCAUACAUACAAACAGUAGGAGCCUCGUUAAGGGGUGACUGCGUACCUUUUGCAUAAUGGGUCAGCGACUUACGUUUAAUGGCGAGCUUAACCGUAUAGGGGAGGCGCAGCGAAAGCGAGUUCGAACAGAGCGUUCAGUCGUUAGGCGUAGACCCGAAACCAGAUGAUCUAUCCAUGGCCAGGUUGAAGGUGUGGUAACACACACUGGAGGACCGAACCGACUAGUGUUGCAAAAUUAGCGGAUGAGCUGUGGAUAGGGGUGAAAGGCUAAACAAAUCUGGAGAUAGCUGGUUCUCCCCGAAAACUAUUGAGGUAGUGCCUCGUGUAUGACUCCAGGGGGUAGAGCACUGUUAUGGCUAGGGGGACAUGGCGUCUUACCAAACCAUGGCAAACUCCGAAUACUUGGAAGUUUGAGCACGGGAGACAGAGCACCGGGUGCUAACGUCCGGACUCAAGAGGGAAACAACCCAGACCGCCGGCUAAGGUCCCUAAUAUUGACUAAGUGGAAAACGAAGUGGAAAGGCUAAGACAGUCAGGAAGUUGGCUUAGAAGCAGCCAUCCUUCAAAGAAAGCGUAAUAGCUCACUGAUCGAGUCUUUCUGCGCGGAAGAUGUAACGGGGCUAAGUCAAUAACCGAAGCCGCGGAUUCACACUUAUGUGUGAGUGGUAGGGGAGCGUUCUGUAAGCCUGCGAAGGUGACUCGUAAGGGUUGCUGGAGGUAUCAGAAGUGCGAAUGCUGACAUGAGUAACGUUAAAGCGGGUGAAAAGCCCGCUCGCCGUAAGCCCAAGGUUUCCUGCUCUACGUUCAUCGGAGCAGGGUGAGUCGGCCCCUAAGGUGAGGCUGAGAAGCGUAACUGAUGGGAACAAGGUUAAUAUUCCUUGACCACCGCUGAAUGCGAAGGGGGGACGGAGUAUUGAAGAUCAUCCGGGUGUUGGAUAUCCCGGUUUGCGAGCGUAGGAGGCUGACAGGCAAAUCCGUCAGCGAAUCUCCGAGGCGAAGCAUCGAGCUCUCUUUUGAGCGAAGUGAUUGGAUGUGCUUCCAGGAAAAGCCUCUAAGCUCCAGUUCAGCGGGACCGUACCGCAAACCGACACUGGUGGGCGAGCUGAAUAUGCUCAGGCGCUUGAGAGAACUCAGGAGAAGGAACUCGGCAAAUUGACACCGUAACUUCGGGAUAAGGUGUGCCUUUGUAGCGUGGAGGGAGAAACACCCCGAGCGCGAAGAGGUCUCAGAUAAUCGGUGGCUGCGACUGUUUAUUAAAAACACAGCACUCUGCAAAGACGAAAGUCGACGUAUAGGGUGUGAUGCCUGCCCGGUGCUGGAAGAUUAAUUGAUGGGGUGCAAGCUCCUGAUCGAAGUCCCAGUAAACGGCGGCCGUAACUAUAACGGUCCUAAGGUAGCGAAAUUCCUUGUCGGGCAAGUUCCGACCUGCACGAAUGGCAUAACGAUGGCCACACUGUCUCCUCCUGAGACUCAGUGAAGUUGAAGUGUUUGUGAUGAUGCAAUCUCCCCGCGGCUAGACGGAAAGACCCCAUGAACCUUUACUGUAGCUUUGCAUUGGACUUUGAACCGAUCUGUGUAGGAUAGGCGGGAGCCUGUGAAACCACAACGCCAGUUGUGGCGGAGGCGUCCUUGAAAUACCGCCCUGAUUUGUUUGAGGUUCUAACCUGGGACAGUCAUCCUGUCCGGGGACCGUGCAUGGUAGGCAGUUUGACUGGGGCGGUCUCCUCCUAAAGGGUAACGGAGGAGUGCGAAGGUACGCUAGGUACGGUCGGAAAUCGUGCUGAUAGUGCAAUGGCAAAAGCGUGCUUGACUGCGAGACCCACAAGUCGAGCAGAUACGAAAGUAGGUCAUAGUGAUCCGGUGGCUCUGUAUGGAAGGGCCAUCGCUCAACGGAUAAAAGGUACUCUGGGGAUAACAGGCUGAUACCGCCCAAGAGUUCAUAUCGA